AUUGAACGCUGGCGGCAGGCCUAACACAUGCAAGUCGAACGAGAGGCGUACGGUUGCGUAAUGCUUGGGAAUCUGGCUUAUGGAGGGGGAUAACGACGGGACACUGUCGCUCAUACCGCGUACCAUCGGAUGAGCCCGAGUGGGAUUAGGUGGUUGGUGGGGGAAAGGCGUACCAAGCCGACGAACUCUAGCUGGUCUGAGAGGAUGAUCAACCCCACCGGGACUGAGACACGGCCCAGAAUCCUACAUGAUCCACCGUUGAUAAAUAUUGCACAAUGGGGGCAACCUGACCCAGCCAGGCCGCGUGAAUGAAGAAGUCCUGCGGGUUUUAAAGUUCUUUAGGUGACGAGGCGUUAAUCACAGAAGAAGCACCGGCUAACUCCGUGCCAGCAGCCGCGGUAAUUC
rnacentral:rRNA from 1 species